AGUGAACGCUGGCGGUAGGCCCAACACAUGCAAGUCGAACGGCAGCACAGUAAGAGCUUGCUCUUACGGGUGGCGAGUGGCGGACGAGUGAGGAAUACAUCGGAAUCUACUUUUUCGUGGGGGAUAACGUAGGGAAACUUACGCUAAUACCGCAUACGACCUACGGGUGAAAGCAGGGGAUCUUCGGACCUUGCGCGAUUGAAUGAGCCGAUGUCGGAUUAGCUAGUUGGCGGGGUAAAGGCCCACCAAGGCGACGAUCCGUAGCUGGUCUGAGAGGAUGAUCAGCCACACUGGAACUGAGACACGGUCCAGACUCCUACGGGAGGCAGCAGUGGGGAAUAUUGGACAAUGGGCGCAAGCCUGAUCCAGCCAUACCGCGUGGGUGAAGAAGGCCUUCGGGUUGUAAAGCCCUUUUGUUGGGAAAGAAAAGCAGCAGGUUAAUACCCCGCUGUUCUGACGGUACCCAAAGAAUAAGCACCGGCUAACUUCGUG
rnacentral:rRNA from 1 species